rnacentral:rRNA from 1 species
GACAGAGGGUGCAAACGUUGUUCGGAAUUACUGGGCGUAAAGCGCGUGUAGGCGGUUCGGUAAGUCGGCUGUGAAAGUCCGGGGCUCAACCCUGGGAUGCCGUCGAUACUGCCGGACUAGAGUUCGGAAGAGGCGAGUGGAAUUCCCGGUGUAGCGGUGAAAUGCGCAGAUAUCGGGAGGAACACCUAUGGCGAAGGCAGCUCGCUGGGACGUUACUGACGCUGAGACGCGAAAGCGUGGGGAGCAAACAGG